AUGGAGGUAAAAGUAGGCUACGCUGAUGCAAAAUACAGAGGGAAGGGAAAAAGAAGAAGCUUUUGGAGAAUAGUGGAUGCGAGCCCGGCCUGCCAUUGUCUUGGCUCCUUUUCCGCCCUUGAAAAUUUGGAGCAAAGGCAAUGUGAUUGGGGCCUGCUUUAUAUAACACAGAAAAGCGUAUUUCGAGCUGUGCGAAAUAAAGUCAGUCUCGGUUAUUGGCCUCCUUUGAUGUUUUCUGGAAUGUGCUCUACUCUUCCUUCCACUCGGUUAAGCAAAAAACACCAUCUUGAGGCAUACUGUAUGUGGUAA
rnacentral:rRNA from 1 species